GUGGGUUGUAUGAAGUUGGCUAAUCGGUGGACAUCCAUAGCAGGAUGGAUGAAAUGAUCUCUAAGAAACUCGAUCGACUACUGCAAGUCGGUUACACCAUCUCUUCCCCAUCUACAUAAGUAUAAGAUGCUUGUUUGACCUGUGCGAGUCCUGCCCACUCUAUGGGUGAUUGUCUAGCUGCAUAUUGAUUUUUUGAGCUUGUUCGGAAGCAAGCCCACCAAGCCCAAACCUAUAAUGCUUCUAAGUCAAUAAACAUUCUUUAUUCGAAUACCUACAAUCCCAACUGGAGG
rnacentral:lncRNA from 1 species